rnacentral:rRNA from 2 species
UACGGAGGGUGCAAGCGUUAUCCGGAUUCACUGGGUUUAAAGGGUGCGUAGGCGGGUAUGUAAGUCAGUGGUGAAAUCCCCGAGCUUAACUCGGGAACUGCCAUUGAUACUAUAUAUCUUGAAUGUUCUGGAGGUAUGCGGAAUAUGUCAUGUAGCGGUGAAAUGCUUAGAGAUGACAUAGAACACCUAUUGCGAAGGCAGCAUACUACGGAAAUAUUGACGCUGAGGCACGAAAGUGUGGGGAUCAAACAGG